rnacentral:rRNA from 1 species
AGUGAACGCUGGCGGUAGGCCUAACACAUGCCGGUCGAACGGCAGCACAGUAAGAGCUUGCUCUUACGGGUGGCGAGUGGCGGACGGGUGAGGAAUACAUCGGAAUCUACUUUUUCGUGGGGGAUAACGUAGGGAAACUUACGCUAAUACCGCAUACGACCUACGGGUGAAAGCAGGGGAUCUUCGGACCUUGCGCGAUUGAAUGAGCCGAUGUCGGAUUAGCUAGUUGGCGGGGUAAAGGCCCACCAAGGCGACGAUCCGUAGCUGGUCUGAGAGGAUGAUCAGCCACACUGGAACUGAGACACGAUCCAGACUCCUACGGGAGGCAGCAGUGGGGAAUAUUGGACAAUGGGCGCAAGCCUGAUCCAGCCAUACCGCGUGGGUGAAGAAGGCCUUCGGGUUGUAAAGCCCUUUUGUUGGGAAAGAAAAGCAGCAGGUUAAUACCCCGCUGUUCUGACGGUACCCAAAGAAUAAGCACCGGCUAACUUCGUG